rnacentral:rRNA from 1 species
AUUGAACGCUGGCGGCAGGCCUAACACAUGCAAGUCGAGCGGAUGAAGGGAGCUUGCUCCUGGAUUCAGCGGCGGACGGGGGAGUAAUGCCUAUGAAUCUGCCUGGUAGUGCGGGAUAACGUCCGGAAACGGGCGCUAAUACCGCAUACGUCCUGAGGGCGAAAGUGGGGGAUCUUCGGACCUCUUGCUCUCAGAUGAGCCUAGGUCGGAUUAGCUAGUUGGUGGGGUAACGGCCUACCAAGGCGACGAUCCGUAACUGGUCUGAGAGGAUGAUCAGUCACACGGGAAGGGAGACACGGUCCAGACUCCUACGGGAGGCAGCAGUGGGGAAUCUUAGGCAAUGGGCGAAAGCCUGAUACAGCCAUGCGGCGUGUGUGAAGAAGGUGCUCGGAUUGUAAAGCAAUUUAAGUUGGGGGGAAGUGCAGUAAGUUAAUACGUUGCGGUAUUGACGGUACCGAGAGAAUAAGCACCGGCUAACUUCGUG